GAUGAGCUGGGAGUUGACGAUGCCUCCACUAAUAGCGAGGACAGCGAAGAAAACAAUAUUGCAGUUGCCGAUGAUAGUACAUCAGAUUCAGAUGAUGGUUCCACAUGUGGAGGUAAAGGACCAGAGUUGGGGUAAUGGGGUCAUGAUGACAAACUUGGUAUGAAGCUACUUGGUGGCAGCCACAUGCCUCAACGAAGGUGGUUUCCAGUUGGGUAUUUACUAUGAAAUACCCAGG